CUCGGAAGCUAAGCAGACUCAGGCCUGGUUAGUACUUGGAUGGGAAACCGCCUGGGAAUACCAGGUGCAGUAGGCUU
rnacentral:rRNA from 1 species